CGGAGGGGCAGAGACACCAGAGCACCCACUUGCAGCGCUCACUUAUUAAAACACCUGAAGAGGAAGCAGAGCCUUGAAGAGUGUAAUCUACUUGAACGCCUGCGUUCUCAGGAAGCGAGGCAGGCUACCAGCCCUCUCGGAUUUCCUAGAAAACAAGCACUGAAUGAAGAUUUGGAUAAAAGCAGAUUAAAUUUAACAGAUGAAGAUGGUUAUGCUUGGUGACAGUAGAUCUCUAGCAAACAAUUGCUCUCAGGACU
rnacentral:lncRNA from 1 species